rnacentral:rRNA from 1 species
GCGGCAUGCCUAACACAUGCAAGUCGAACGAGACCUUCGGGUCUAGUGGCGCACGGGUGCGUAACGCGUGGGAAUCUGCCCUGGGGUACGGAAUAACUCAGAGAAAUUUGAGCUAAUACCGUAUGAUGACGUAAGUCCAAAGAUUUAUCGCCCUGGGAUGAGCCCGCGUAGGAUUAGCUUGUUGGUGAGGUAAGAGCUCACCAAGGCGACGAUCCUUAGCUGGUCUGAGAGGAUGAUCAGCCACACUGGGACUGAGACACGGCCCAGACUCCUACGGGAGGCAGCAGUGGGGAAUAUUGGACAAUGGGCGAAAGCCUGAUCCAGCAAUGCCGCGUGAGUGAUGAAGGCCUUAGGGUUGUAAAGCUCUUUUACCCGGGAAGAUAAUGACUGUACCGGGAGAAUAAGCCCCGGCUAACUCCGUGCCAGCAGCCGCGGUAAUACGGAGGGGGCUAGCGUUGUUCGGAAUUACUGGGCGUAAAGCGCACGUAGGCGGCUCUGUAAGUUAGAAGUGAAAGCCUGGAG